rnacentral:rRNA from 1 species
UACGUAGGGGGCUAGCGUUGUCCGGAAUCAUUGGGCGUAAAGCGCGUGUAGGCGGUUCGGUAAGUCCGCUGUGAAAGUCGGGGGCUCAACCCUCGGAUGCCGGUGGAUACUGUCGGACUAGAGUACGGAAGAGGCGAGUGGAAUUCCUGGUGUAGCGGUGAAAUGCGCAGAUAUCAGGAGGAACACCGGUGGCGAAAGCGCUUGUCUGGCCCAAUACUGACGCUGAUGCGCGAAAGCUAGGGGAGCAAACGGG